rnacentral:rRNA from 1 species
AUUGAACGCUGGCGGCAGGCCUAACACAUGCAAGUCGAGCGAUCGGCGGACGGGUGCGUAAUGUCUGUGAAACUGCCUGUUGGAGGGGGAUAACUACUGGAAACGGUAGCUACUAACGCAUACCACACGAUGUGCACAGAUGGGAUUAGCUCGUAGGUGGGGUAACGGCUCACCUAGGCGACGAUCCCUAGCUGGUCUGAGAUGAUGACCAGCAACAUGGGAACGGAGACACGGUCCAGACUCCUACGGGAGGCAGCAGUGGGGAAUAUUGCACAAUGGGCGCAAGCCUGAUGCAGCCAUGCCGCGUGUGUGAAGAAGGCCUUCGGGUUGUAAAGCACUUUCAGCGGGGAGGCGUUACCCGCAGAAGAAGCACCGGCUAACUCCGUGCCAGCCGCCGCGGUAAUUC